GAUGAACGCUGGCGGCGUGCCUAAUACAUGCAAGUCGAGCGAACGGACGAGAAGCUUGCUUCUCUGAUGUUAGCGGCGGACGGGUGAGUAACACGUGGAUAACCUACUUAUAAGACUGGGAUAACUUCGGGAAACCGGAGCUAAUACCGGAUGAUAUUUUGAACCGCAUGGUUCAAAAGUGAAAGACGGUCUUGCUGUCACUUAUAGAUGGAUCCGCGCUGCAUUAGCUAGUUGGUAAGGUAACGGCUUACCAAGGCAACGAUGCAUAGCCGACCUGAGAGGGUGAUCGGCCACACUGGAACUGAGACACGGUCCAGACUCCUACGGGAGGCAGCAGUAGGGAAUCUUCCGCAAUGGGCGAAAGCCUGACGGAUCAACGCCGCGUGAGUGAUGAAGGUCUUCGGAUCGUAAAACUCUGUUAUUAGGGAAGAACAUAUGUGUAAGUAACUGUGCACAUCUUGACGGUACCUAAUCAGAAAGCCACGGCUAACUACGUG
rnacentral:rRNA from 1 species